rnacentral:rRNA from 1 species
AGUGAACGCUGGCGGUAGGCCUAACACAUGCAAGUCGAACGGCAGCACAGUAAGAGCUUGCUCUUACGGGUGGCGAGUGGCGGACGGGUGAGGAAUACAUCGGAGUCUACUUUUUCGUGGGGGAUAACGUAGGGAAACUUACGCUAAUACCGCAUACGACCUACGGGUGAAAGCAGGGGAUCUUCGGACCUUGCGCGAUUGAAUGAGCCGAUGUCGGAUUAGCUAGUUGGCGGGGUAAAGGCCCACCAAGGCGACGAUCCGUAGCUGGUCUGAGAGGAUGAUCAGCCACACUGAACUGAGACACGGUCCAGACUCCUACGGGAGGCAGCAGUGGGGAAUAUUGGACAAUGGGCGCAAGCCUGAUCCAGCCAUACCGCGUGGGUGAAGAAGGCCUUCGGGUUGUAAAGCCCUUUUGUUGGGAAAGAAAAGCAGCAGGUUAAUACCCCGCUGUUCUGACGGUACCCAAAGAAUAAGCACCGGCUAACUUCGUG